rnacentral:rRNA from 1 species
GCCCUUUUCCGGUUGAUCCUGCCGGAGGCCAUUGCUAUCGGGGUCCGAUUUAGCCAUGCUAGUCGAACGAGUUGAGACUCGUGGCGACCAGCUCAGUAACACGUGGCCAACCCACCCUGUAGACCGGAAUAGUCUCGGGAAACUGAGGGCAAUACCGGAUAGGCGAUCCGCGCUGGGAUGCGGGAUCGCCGAAAGGUGAGCCGCUACAGGACGGGGCUGCGGCCGAUUAGGUAGACGGUGGGGUAACGGCCCACCGUGCCAGUAAUCGGUACGGGUCAUGAGAGUGAGAGCCCGGAGACGGACUCUGAGACAAGAGUCCGGGCCCUACGGGGCGCAGCAGGCGCGAAACCUUUACACUGCACGCGAGUGCGAUAAGGGGACCCCGAGUGCGGAGGCAUAGUGCCUUCGCUUUUCUGGACUGUAGGGACGUCCAGGAAGAAGGGCUGGGCAAGACCGGUGCCAGCCGCCGCGGUAAUACCGGCAGCCCGAGUGAUGGCCGAUAUUAUUGGGCCUAAAGCGUCCGUAGCUGGCCGCGUACGUCCGUCGGGAAAUCCACGCGCUCAACGCGUGGGCGACCGACGGAGUCGGCGCGGCUUGGGACCGGAAGGCGCGACGGGUACGUCCGGGGUAGGAGUGAAAUCCUAUAAUCCCGGACGGACCGCCGAUGGCGAAAGCACGUCGCGAGGACGGCUCCGACAGUGAGGGACGAAAGCUGGGGUCUCGAACCGGAUUAGAUACCCGGGUAGUCCCAGCCGUAAACGAUGCCUGUUAGGUGUGGCACUCGCUACGAGCGGGUGCUGUGCCGUAGGGAAGCCGCUAAACAGGCCGCCUGGGGAAGUACGUCCGC